UGCAAGUCGCACGAGAAAGGGGCUUCGGCCCUGAGUAAAGUGGCGGACGGGUGAGUAACACGUGGGUAAUCUGCCUUUCAGUGGGGGAUAACUGUCCGAAAGGAUAGCUAAUACCGCAUACGUCGGCGAAGGUCAUGGCCUUUGUCGGGAAAGCCGGCCUCUCCAUGGAAGCUGGCGCUGGAAGAGGAGCCCGCGGCCCAUCAGCUAGUUGGUAGGGUAAUGGCCUACCAAGGCAAAGACGGGUAGCUGGUCUGAGAGGAUGAUCAGCCACACUGGGACUGAGACACGGCCCAGACUCCUACGGGAGGCAGCAGUGGGGAAUAUUGGGCAAUGGGCGCAAGCCUGACCCAGCCACGCCGCGUGAGUGAUGAAGGCCUUCGGGUCGUAAAGCUCUGUGGGGAGGGACGAAAAAACGCUGGCCAACAUCCAGCGGACUGACGGUACCUCCUUAGCAAGCACCGGCUAACUCCGUGCCAGCAGCCGCGGUAAUACGGAGGGUGCAAACGUUGCUCGGAAUCAUUGGGCGCAAAGCGCACGUAGGCGGUCCAGCAAGUCGGGUGUGAAAGCCCUCGGCUUAACCGGGGAAGUGCAUUCGAAACUACUGGGCUUGAGUACUGAAGAGGAUCGCGGAAUUCCCGGUGUAGAGGUGAAAUUCGUAGAUAUCGGGAGGAACACCAGUGGCGAAGGCGGCGAUCUG
rnacentral:rRNA from 1 species